AAGUUUAUAGACUUCAAGAUUCAGAAUAUUGUUGCUUGUGACGUUCAAUUCCCUCUCAGACUUGAGAAGUUGUCGUUCACUGCCCAUGGUGCUUAUUCAAUCUACGAAACUGAACUCUUCCCUGACCAUAUCUAUCGCAUGAAACGUCCGAAGGUUGUUUUGCUUAUCUUUGUUUUUGGGAAGGUUGUGAUUACUGGAGCCAAGAAGAGGGAGGAAACCUACGCUGCCUUUGAGAGCAUAUGCCCAGAUCUUGCAGAGUUCAAAAAGUAAUUAACGGAGGUCUUCUGGGGCAGGAGAGUACAUAGAUUUCAGAGAUUAUUAUAUAUUAGACUUGUUGAUUUGGG
rnacentral:misc_RNA from 1 species